rnacentral:rRNA from 1 species
UACGUAGGGUGCAAGCGUUGUCCGGAAUUAUUGGGCGUAAAGAGCUCGUAGGCGGUUUGUCGCGUCGGCUGUGAAAACCCGAGGCUCAACCUCGGGCCUGCAGUCGAUACGGGCAAACUAGAGUGCGGUAGGGGAGACUGGAAUUCCUGGUGUAGCGGUGAAAUGCGCAGAUAUCAGGAGGAACACCGGCGGCGAAGGCGACUUCCUGGCCUGUUCUUGACGCUGAGGCGCGAAAGCUAGGGGAGCAAACGGG